rnacentral:rRNA from 1 species
CAUGUGGUUAAUUCGAUGAUACGCGAGGAACCUACCCGGGCUGAACUGCCAGUGAACGAUACAGAGAUGUGAGGCCCUUCGGGGCACUGGUGGAGGUGCUGCAUGGUGUCGUCAGCUCGUGCCGUGAGGUGUCGGCUUAAGUGCCAUAACGAGCGCAACCCCUUUCCCCAGUUGCCAUCACCUCGGGUGGGCACUCUGGGGACACUGCCGCCGCAAGGUGCGAGGAAGGUGGGGAUGACGUCAAAUCAGCACGGCCCUUACGUCCGGGGCUACACACGUGUUACAAUGGCGCGUACAGAGGGCUGACCGCCGGCGACGUCGGCCGAAUCCCGAAAACGCGUCUCAGUUCGGACUGGGGUCUGCAACCCGACCCCACGAAGCUGGAUUCGCUAGUAAUCGCGCAUCAGCCAUGGCGCGGUGAAUACGUUCCCGGGCCUUGUACACACCGCCCGUCAAGCCAUGAAAGCCGGGGGCGCCUGAAGUCCGUGACCGCGAGGGUCGGCCUAGGGUAAAAUGGUGAUGGGGCUAAGUCGUAACAAGGUAACCUA